rnacentral:rRNA from 1 species
UACGAACCGUGCGAACGUUGUUCGGAAUCACUGGGCUUAAAGGGCGCGUAGGCGGGCUGCCGCGUCCGGGGUGAAAUGCCACGGCUCAACCGUGGAACGGCCUCGGAUACGGGCGGGCUCGAGGGAGGUAGGGGCAUCGGGAACUGUGAGUGGAGCGGUGAAAUGCGUUGAUAUCGGAAGGAACGCCGGUGGCGAAAGCGACUUCCUGGACCAGUACCGACGUUCAGGCACGAAAGCGUGGGGAGCAAACAGG